rnacentral:lncRNA from 1 species
AAGAUUUCAUAAACUUCUGUAAUUACAAAAAAAGCCAAAGCCAUUGACAGUGCACUGACCGUGACAGCUUUGCUCCAGAGCAGUCAUGUGACCAACCGCCUUUUCAAGUUUGUACUUUCCCCUUGCUCUCUCUUCCUGUUUUUCUGCCCAGUCACUUGUCAGAACAGUUCCAAAUGUAACAGUAUUAUGUCUUCCCACAGAAUGCCUGUCUCUAGGAAACAUAAUGGCUGAGGAAUUCCCCUGGAGAAACAUUAACCCAAAAGCCUUAGACAUGAGCCCAGGUGCCCUGCAGUGCAGUGCAGUGAGGCACGGCCUCGCUGACCCUUUAAGUGCAAGGCAGCCUGAGUGUUCGCUGCAGCUUGACAGCCAUGCUUAACUGAUCUGGCCUAUGAACUGUGCUGUUUUCUGAUUGUGAAUCUUUUUAUUCACCUAUUUGCAGAUUGUUUUCACGUCCAAAACAAAAGAAAUAUUUUUGCUAUAUCCACCUUUUUAAUCCAAGUUUGGGUACUCAUUGUCACCAUUUUCUAUCCAUUGCUCCAGAAAAAUGUGCUCUUUGCACAGCUUCUGUUUAUCCACCAGGUCUUCAAACAGAUGGACCCUUGCCUGCCUUGGUCCUUAAAGCUAUAAAUGUCUUGCACAGAGAGUUAAGGUCUGUGGCUCUGAACCUGCAUUGUGUAGCUGCCUUGGUUUUAAUCGAGCUUUAUCUGUGAGUGCUCACCAACUGAUCAUAUUGAUCAGAAUAAAAACCAAAUGCUUUGUAGUUUGAUGUAGAUGAGUCCCUGAAAAAAAUCAUGUCUGCCCUUUUUUUACUUUGUCAUGUGACUAGAGCAAGGGAAGCCUUAAAGCCCAUGCUUGCUCCAGUCUCAAGCCCCCAUUUGUCCUUGUUCUAAGUGUGCAACGUUACUAAAACGACAGUGCGCAGCACCUGCCACGACUGUCAGAGCAGGAGACUGUUAGUGCAGAGUUUUGCCAAAUAAUAAAUUUCAACAAAAUCUCAUAGUAAACCAUUUACAUUUAGAGAUGAGUGAUUCCGGCACUGCUUACAGCAAGAUUACUUGUGGUCACCAGACCUGAUUUCCUCUAAUUGAUGUCUUUAUAAAUGACCUUUGGGGAGAAAAAUCCUUCAGAGCGUAUUCUCGAGGGUGACGUGUUGAUUACCUCCAUGAUCUCUGCCAAGCUGGGACAGCAGCAGUGACCAUAGGACACAAUUAUAUACGUGUAAUACGUGAUUGUAGGACUACAAAGAAAGGAAAAGGGAAAAAGUUUUCCUUAAAAUUUUAAACCGUGAUUAUUUGGACUUAAAGGACUCGUAGGCAGUGAGUGUGCCCCGGUGGCAUCUGUCGCAUGCUAUGAAGGGGGAGGGGUCAUCCGAGAUGAAUCAGGUACAUUCUCAAGUCAAAACUUGAGCCCCAAUCAUCUUUAGCUUUUGUGUUGUUUAAAAGGUCUCUUUAUUUUUAUUGUACAGAAUGAAUGCAGUUGAACUUGAUAGAUGUUUUAAAAUCGAAAUGUGAGUUUAUCAAAAACAAAAGCAAAAUUGCACAGUUGCUAUGAUCAAGUGACAAUUAUCUGCACAAUUCAAUGAUUGUAAGGCAUCCUGUCACAAGCAAUGUUGUCUCCUAGUUUUUGAUGCCUCUUAAACUUAUGUCUUUUAGAAAGACAGUGCCUCUGUAUGCUUUGUAUUUUUACUGAGUGUAAAUACUUGUUAUAUUUUGGUUAAAAAAUGUAAGGGUAUCAUUUAUUACCACAUCUCCUAAUACAUCAGAACCAAUAAAGAACAUGUAUUAACUGUG